rnacentral:lncRNA from 1 species
UGACUGUCUGAGGCCCCUCCACUCAAGAGCUCACUAUCCUUAUGCUCUGAUCGGAUGACCCUUAAGCUCUGGGUCAGGCAGAGGGGGAGAAAAAUCUGUAGGGAAGAGAGAGGGCCUCUGGGACGUCCUGGAAUUCCAGGGCUUCCCUUGAAUCCCCAGAUGCAGUGCCGCUGGUUCCUAGAGUACAAGGAACUCUACAUGCUACCUGACUGGACUCCUCGAUCUGGGCAAAGGUGUGUCCAUGUCACCUUCCCGCGGAGCUCAGAUGUAGUACCAGUAUCGUUUCCAGCAAUCUCUCCAGCAGCCUCUGCCAAUCAUCUGCGGUUAGCAGGGCUUCCUUCUUAAAAUUGACUGCCUUAUAUUGAGGCCAUAUGGCAUAUUUUGCAGAAGUGAUGAUCUAUGGAAGCACUUGUGAAGAAGAGAGGGACACAUUGUGACUUGCAUUUGGGGGCAACCAUUCCCCAAAAAGGUGAGUGGAUUGGCGGGUGCUGAGCGAGGAUUAGUUAGAAGCCUGAAAUCUGGACCUCCCACUCCUACUAGGGCUCCCGCUGACAGGUCUUGGUGAGGGAGGUGCUGACUUUGGUACCUGUGAAUAGGAGAAUUUAAUUAGGACGCUGGGGUAUUGUUGAAAGGUUGGAUCAAUUCCCCCUCCCACCCCCUGAGGAGGUCUCCUGUCUUUAAUGUGAAAAGACAAUCUAGAAGGUACCUGCUGCUUUCGUACAACUGUCCGGGGACACCUCUCAAGGGUGUCCGGGGGCCGACGCUCUGCACGGAGCCUGGGGGUAGCACCACGCUGUCCUCCCACAGCACAUCCUGAUCUGUCAGGAGAUCCUGUGGGCUCUGCCUUCAGAACAUCCCCAGGGCUGAGCCACCACGGCUCUACCCCUGGGUAAUGGCAAGGGCCUCCUAAUUGGUCUCCCUGCUUUGCCCUUGCCCUGUGCAAUCCAGUCUCAACCCCACAGCCCAAGAGAUUUUUUAGAAAUUAAGUUGAAUCAUGUCACU